rnacentral:rRNA from 1 species
UAGUCGAGUGACUCAGGCAAAACGAGUCACGGCGCACAGCUCAGUAACACGUGGCUAAUCUGCCCUUGAGACGAGAAUAACCCCGGGAAACUGGGGCUAACUCUCGAUAGGCGAAGAACUCUGGAAUGAGUCUUCACCCAAAAAGCUUCACGUUAUCCUCGUGAAGUCGCUCAAGGAUGAGGCCGCGACCGAUCAGGUUGUUGGUGAGGUAAUGGCUCACCAAGCCUUUUACCGGUGCGGGCCGUGGGAGCGGGAGCCCGGAGAUGGGUACUGAGACAAGGACCCAGGCCCUACGGGGCGCAGCAGUCGCGAAAACUUUGCAAUACACGAAAGUGUGACAGGGCUAUCCCGAGUGCCAUCCUCUGAGGAAGGCUUUUACCCAGUCUAGAACGCUGGGGGAAUAAGGAGAGGGCAAGUCUGGUGUCAGCCGCCGCGGUAAUACCAGCUCUCCGAGUGGUGUGGAUGUUUAUUGGGCCUAAAGCAUCCGUAGCUGGCUAAGUUAGUCCCCUGUUAAAUCCACCGAAUUAAUCGUUGGAUUGCGGGGGAUACUGCUUGGCUAGGGGACGAGAGAGGCAGACGGUAUUUUCGGGGUAGGGGUGAAAUCCUAUAAUCCCGGGAAGACCACCAGUGGCGAAGGCUGUCUGCUAGAACGCGCCCGACGGUGAGGGAUGAAAGCUGGGGGAGCGAACCGGAUUAGAUACCCGGGUAGUCCCAGCUGUAAACGAUGCAGGCUAGGUGUUUGGACGGCCACGUGCCGUUCUAGUGCCGCAGGGAAGCUGUUAAGCCUGCCGCCUGGGGAGUACGAUCGCAAGAUUGAAACUAAAGGAAUGCGGG